UAAAAUGUGAAGCCAAGCCUCACACAUAACAAAGACGGCCUUGCUGAGCUGGCAGAGCAGCCCUGUACACCCUGGCCCAAGCCAUCCUCCACAGUCACACUACUUCCUAGGCUCACUGUGCUUCCUUAAAACAACUAUUUUGGGUUCUUUGUCCGCCAAAUCGCAGAUCUACAUUUCUUCAGGGAGAUCACAGGCCAAGAAGAUGUGCCACCUUGGGGGAGGGGGAGGUGGGUAAAGUGAAAACUGUUUCUGUUAACCUUCUUCAAAGUGUAUAAACAUGAAUUGUUUUG